rnacentral:rRNA from 1 species
GACGAACGCUGGCGGCGUGCCUAAUACAUGCAAGUAGAACGCUGAAGAGAGGAGCUUGCUCUUCUUGGAUGAGUUGCGAACGGGUGAGUAACGCGUAGGUAACCUGCCUUGUAGCGGGGGAUAACUAUUGGAAACGAUAGCUAAUACCGCAUAACAAUGGAUGACCCAUGUCAUUUAUUUGAAAGGGGCAAAUGCUCCACUACAAGAUGGACCUGCGUUGUAUUAGCUAGUAGGUGAGGUAACGGCUCACCUAGGCGACGAUACAUAGCCGACCUGAGAGGGUGAUCGGCCACACUGGGACUGAGACACGGCCCAGACUCCUACGGGAGGCAGCAGUAGGGAAUCUUCGGCAAUGGGGGCAACCCUGACCGAGCAACGCCGCGUGAGUGAAGAAGGUUUUCGGAUCGUAAAGCUCUGUUGUAAGUCAAGAACGAGUGUGAGAGUGGAAAGUUCACACUGUGACGGUAGCUUACCAGAAAGGGACGGCUAACUACGUGCCAGCAGCCGCGGUAAUACGUAGGUCCCGAGCGUUGUCCGGAUUUAUUGGGCGUAAAGCGAGCGCAGGCGGUUUGAUAAGUCUGAAGUUAAAGGCUGUGGCUCAACCAUAGUUCGCUUUGGAAACUGUCAAACUUGAGUGCAGAAGGGGAGAGUGGAAUUCCAUGUGUAGCGGUGAAAUGCGUAGAUAUAUGGAGGAACACCGGCGGCGAAAGCGGCUCUCUGGUCUGUAACUGACGCUGAGGCUCGAAAGCGUGGGGAGCGAACAGGAUUAGAUACCCUGGUAGUCCACGCCGUAAACGAUGAGUGCUAGGUGUUGGAUCCUUUCCGGGAUUCAGUGCCGCAGCUAACGCAUUAAGCACUCCGCCUGGGGAGUACGACCGCAAGGUUGAAACUCAAAGGAAUUGACGGGGGCCCGCACAAGCGGUGGAGCAUGUGGUUUAAUUCGAAGCAACGCGAAGAACCUUACCAGGUCUUGACAUCCCGAUGCUAUUUCUAGAGAUAGAAAGUUACUUCGGUACAUCGGUGACAGGUGGUGCAUGGUUGUCGUCAGCUCGUGUCGUGAGAUGUUGGGUUAAGUCCCGCAACGAGCGCAACCCCUAUUGUUAGUUGCCAUCAUUCAGUUGGGCACCCUAGCGAGACUGCCGGUAAUAAACCGGAGGAAGGUGGGGAUGACGUCAAAUCAUCAUGCCCCUUAUGACCUGGGCUACACACGUGCUACAAUGGUUGGUACAACGAGUUGCGAGUCGGUGACGGCAAGCUAAUCUCUUAAAGCCAAUCUCAGUUCGGAUUGUAGGCUGCAACUCGCCUGCAUGAAGUCGGAAUCGCUAGUAAUCGCGGAUCAGCACGCCGCGGUGAAUACGUUCCCGGGCCU